rnacentral:rRNA from 1 species
UAGGGAAUAUUGCUUAAUGAGCGAAAGCCUGAACCUGCGACGCCGCGUGAGUGAUGAAGGCCUUCGGGUUGUAAAGCACUUUUUGGAAGGAUUAGGAAGGAAUGUACUUCCAGAAUAAGUCUCGGCUAACUACGUGCCAGCAGCCGCGGUAACACGUAGGAGGCAAACGUUAUCCGGAUUUACUGGGCGUAAAGCGCGUGUAGGUGGUUCUGUAAGUAGGGCGUGAAAGCUCCUGGCUCAACUGGGAGAGGCCGUUCUAAACUGCAGAGCUAGAGGAUGGUAGAGGGAGGUGGAAUUCCGGGUGUAGCGGUGGAAUGCGCAGAUAUCCGGAGGAACACCAGUGGCGAAAGCGGCCUCCUGGACCAUUCCUGACACUCAGACGCGAAAGCUAGGGUAGCAAACG